rnacentral:rRNA from 1 species
AAAUUGAAGAGUUUGAUCAUGGCUCAGAUUGAACGCUGGCGGCAGGCCUAACACAUGCAAGUCGAGCGGUAGCACAGAGAGCUUGCUCUCGGGUGACGAGCGGCGGACGGGUGAGUAAUGUCUGGGAAACUGCCUGAUGGAGGGGGAUAACUACUGGAAACGGUAGCUAAUACCGCAUAACGUCGCAAGACCAAAGUGGGGGACCUUCGGGCCUCAUGCCAUCAGAUGUGCCCAGAUGGGAUUAGCUAGUAGGUGGGGUAACGGCUCACCUAGGCGACGAUCCCUAGCUGGUCUGAGAGGAUGACCAGCCACACUGGAACUGAGACACGGUCCAGACUCCUACGGGAGGCAGCAGUGGGGAAUAUUGCACAAUGGGCGCAAGCCUGAUGCAGCCAUGCCGCGUGUGUGAAGAAGGCCUUCGGGUUGUAAAGCACUUUCAGCGGGGAGGAAGGCGUUAAGGUUAAUAACCUUGUCGAUUGACGUUACCCGCAGAAGAAGCACCGGCUAACUCCGUGCCAGCAGCCGCGGUAAUACGGAGGGUGCAAGCGUUAAUCGGAAUUACUGGGCGUAAAGCGCACGCAGGCGGUCUGUCAAGUCGGAUGUGAAAUCCCCGGGCUCAACCUGGGAACUGCAUUCGAAACUGGCAGGCUAGAGUCUUGUAGAGGGGGGUAGAAUUCCAGGUGUAGCGGUGAAAUGCGUAGAGAUCUGGAGGAAUACCGGUGGCGAAGGCGGCCCCCUGGACAAAGACUGACGCUCAGGUGCGAAAGCGUGGGGAGCAAACAGGAUUAGAUACCCUGGUAGUCCACGCCGUAAACGAUGUCGAUUUGGAGGUUGUGCCCUUGAGGCGUGGCUUCCGGAGCUAACGCGUUAAAUCGACCGCCUGGGGAGUACGGCCGCAAGGUUAAAACUCAAAUGAAUUGACGGGGGCCCGCACAAGCGGUGGAGCAUGUGGUUUAAUUCGAUGCAACGCGAAGAACCUUACCUGGUCUUGACAUCCACAGAACUUUCCAGAGAUGGAUUGGUGCCUUCGGGAACUGUGAGACAGGUGCUGCAUGGCUGUCGUCAGCUCGUGUUGUGAAAUGUUGGGUUAAGUCCCGCAACGAGCGCAACCCUUAUCCUUUGUUGCCAGCGGU